rnacentral:rRNA from 1 species
UGGGGAAUCUUGCGCAAUGGGCGAAAGCCUGACGCAGCAACGCCGCGUGAGUGAGGAAGGCCUUCGGGUUGUAAAACUCUGUCCUGGGAGAAGAAACAAAUGACGUACC